UAACAACCUACGUCACAGUUCCCGUGUAGCAGAGGCGCCGUUGCAAAGACCAGAAGAUCACUCAUCUAGGCACCCGUUGAUGGAGCCGUUUCAAAGGCGAAUCCCGUCUACUACUACUACUACUACUGCUGCUUCUAUUACUGGCCCAGACUCCAUAACAAGACGAAAGAAGAGUCAACGAUGCGCCUGGAUGUUUUCCGAUGAAAGAUACCUGGAGGCCUAAGCUGAACUUCUAGUAGUACCAAUGUCCAAGAAACUGAAGAUUCGCUUCGAAUUAUGCCAAGAUGAGAGAAACUUCGCCCCUGCUGGUCUUCCUCUGCUACAAGGAUUCGACGAAUGGCUUCUUCCCCUAUUUAACGUCUCGCGUUUGAUUUAAAUUAUUACUUGCAUGUUUUCUGUCCUGCUUUGUGUUUUGACUGUCGUUUAAUGUUUAAUGUAUUAACUGUCUCACGAAAAUACUGCUCCAUGAGAUAUA